UUGAUAAAUCAUGGAUUGACAAACCACAAGACACACUUGAAUAUGAAAAUGGAUUGAUUAAUUUUUUGAAUUUUUCAUUUCACCAUAAAUCUAUUGACGGUCUUAAGAUAAAGUGCCCAUGUUCAAAAUGUGGUUUCAAGAAGUGGGGAACAUGGGAUGAGGUUUAUGUACACCUCAAAAAUAGACCUUUUCCAAAAAAUUACAAAGUUUGGAACUGGCAUGGUGAAGGGUCAAGUAUAAAUGAGCCUCAAGUAUUUGAAAGAACACAUGUCGCAGAAGAUACCUUCCAACCACAGAAUACAAUGGAAAACAUGGUCCAUGAUGCAUUUGGAUUUACCCAAAGUAGUCCGAAUAAUCUUGGUCCAUCUUCUGAGAACAACAACGAAGGGUGUAAUUCAAUGUGGGGGAAGACAAAGCCGAGUUUUUUGAUUUGUUAAAAGAUGUUAAUCAACCAUUAUAUGAAGGGUGCAAAAACUUCUCAAAGUUGUCAUUUCUAAUCAAAUUGUAUCAUAUAAAAUGCUUGUGUGGAAUAAGUGACAAAGCAAUGACUAUGAUUAUAAAGUUAUUAAAAGAUGUGUUUGUUGAUGCCAAGAUUCCUGUUUCAUUCUAUGAGGCUAAGAAAAUCAUCAACAAACUUCGUCUUGAUUAUACCAAGAUAGAUGCUUUCCCAAAUGAUUGUAUGUUAUACUGGGGUGAAGAAAAUAAAGACUUAGAAGAAUGUAAGCGAUGCAAGACAUCUAGGUGGAAGGAUGACAAGAAGAAGCAAUCUGCAGAGAUACUACGCUACUUUCCACUAAAGCCAAGAUUGCAAAGACUUUUUAUGUGUUCUAAAACCGCAAAGUCAAUGAAAUGGCAUGCAUUGGAGGCUAAUAAAGAUGGUAUGAUGAGACAUCCUAGAGAUUCUGAGGCAUGGAAAACAUUUGACUUACGUCAUCCAGAAUUUGCUACGGAUUCUCGAAAUAUACGACUUGGCCUAGCCACCGAUGGCUUUAACCCUUUUGGUGUGAUGAGUACAAACUACAGCAUUUGGCUAGUGGUCCUUAUCCCAUAUAAUCUCCCUCCUUGGGAAUGCAUGAAGCAAACAUCAACAAUCCUUUCCAUGAUCAUUCCUGGAAAACAAGCGUCGGGAAAUAAUAUAGAUGUGUAUCUACAACCUCUCAUCAAAGAGUUAAAAGAAAUGUGGUAUGAUGGAGUGAAAACAUUAGAUUCAUCAAAAAAUGAAAUGUUUAUGAUGAAGGCAGUUUUGAUGUGGACUAUUAGUGACUUUCCAGGACUUGGCACUUUAUCAGGAUGGAAUACACACACUAAGCUUGCUUGCCCCACUUGUAACAAUGACACUGAUAGUUUUAGAUUAAAGAAUGGUGGAAAAUGGUGUUUUAUGGGUCACCGCCGGUUUUUAGAAAAAGGUCAUAAACUUAGAUUGAGUCGGUCUCGUUUUAAUGGAAAAGUUGAGCAAAGAGAUGCCCCUGCUACUUUGUUAGGACAAGACAUCUUGAACCAACUAAAGGGAGCAAAUGUUACUUUUGGGAAAGUGUUAGAAUCUAAAGAAAAAGAUGGAGGAAAAAGAAAACGCAAGAAAAAAAUUGUUGAAGGACCGAGACAAUGGAGGAAGAAAAGUAUAUUUUUUGAUCUUCCUUAUUGGGAGUCCAAUUUGUUGCGCCAUAAUUUAGAUGUUAUGCACAUUGAAAAAAAUGUAUGUGAUAAUGUUGUAUACACUUUGCUCAAUGAAACUGGGAAAUCAAAAGAUAAUCUUAAAGCUCGUGAGGAUCUUAAAUUAAUGGGUAUAAGGAAGGAUCUUUGGCCAGAUAGUAAUAAAAGAUUUUGCCCAUCUUUGUUUACAAUGUCAAAUUCAAAGAAAGAUGUAUUCCUACAAACUUUGAGGAAUACUAGUUUUCCUGAUGGAUACUCAAGUAACAUUUCUAGGUGCGUUGACAUAAACAAUCGAAAACUUUUUAGGAUGAAAAGCCACGAUUGUCAUAUUCUUAUGGAGCAAAUACUACCUAUUGCUAUACGAAAUGUCCUACCAGACAAUGUGACUGCAGUGUUAGUAGAGUUUUGUUCAUUCUUUCGCCAAUUAUGUGCCAAGAGUUUAAGUCACUUGGAUCUCGAUAGACUCCAGUCUCGAAUCAUUCUCACUCUUUGUCACUUAGAAAUGUUAUUUCCUCCUUCAUUUUUUACAAUCAUGGUGCAUUUGACUUGUCACCUUAUUGGUGAAGCAAAACUUGGAGGUCCAGUACACUAUCGUUGGAUGUAUCCUAUUGAAAGGUGAUUAACUUACUUCAUUUUGAGGUUAUUCUUGUAUCUCCCCUUUAAGUUGUUCACAUUUUCUAAUUUUCAACCCCUUUUCUAGGUACUUAGGACACUUGAAAUCCUAUGUUAGGAAUAAGGCACAACCCGAAGGUUCUAUUGCUGAAGGAUACCUUGCAGAAGAGGUUCUCACAUUUUGCUCUCAAUAUAUAGAUGGGAUUGAGACUCGAAUCAAUAGACCUGCACGUAUUGAUGAUUAUCCUAAUGAAAGAGAUUCAUCCCACAGAUCUACAAUUUUUCCACCUAUAGGUAGGGCAGUAGGAGCAUUCUCAACCUUUGAUCUAUCAACCAUGGAGAAAACUCAAGCACAUCGAUAUGUGUUGUUAAAUUGUCCCCAAGUCAAACCUUAUAUUGAGUGAGUACCUCAAAGAUUUUCAAAUUAUGUCUAGUCAAGUAAGAUAUAUGAUAUUAAUCAUCCUAGAUUAAUAUCAAUUGUUUAUGUAGUGAAUUUAAGGAGUACUUACGGAUACGGUCUAAAAGGCGAAGGCAGUCAACAACAGAGAUAGAGAAAAUGAUUAGUAAAGAUUUCAUUGUUUGGUUUCCUCAAAGGGUUGGUUAAGUUUUCCAUAACCUUUGUUUAUUUUUAUGGAUGUUUAUAUACUUAUGUAAAUUACUAAAUCAUAUUUUCGAUUUCAAUUUAGAUUAUGAACCCCGACAUAUCAAAGAUAGUGUCAGAUGAUCUCAUGUAUCUUGCGAAAGGUCCAACAACACAAGCUAGAAGAUAUUCUGCAUUUAACAUUAAUGGAUUCAAAUUUUGAACCAUAGCACGAGAGCAUGGUUUGAAAACCCAAAAUAGUGGUGUUUAUUUAACAUCUUCAACAUCAUGUGUUGCUAGUAGUGUCGAUACAAACUUUAGAGAAGCAAACUUGUUAUAUUAUGGGAAAUUAGAAGAUAUCAUUGAGCUUAACUACUAUGGUCGAUUUAAAGUUACUUUAUUCAGAUGUAAAUGGGCUGACACCACUAAAGAUAGAGGGUACAAAAAAGAUUCGUGGGGUUUUACUUCCGUUAAUUUUUCAAGAAGUAUUCACAUGGGUGAUCGUGAAGAACAUGAUCCGUACAUUGAGGCCUCACAAGCCCAAAUGGUCUAUUAUGUGAAUGAUGAGAUAGAUAAAGACUGGAGUGUUAUUGUCCAUUUGAAGCCAAGAGACUUAUAUGAUAUGGGAGAUCAAAUAGAUAUUGAAGUUUGUCCUGAGCAAAACCUAGAUCAGUUUUUUGGAGACUCUGAUCAUUUGUCUUUAAUAAGGGAGGAUGUAGAUGAUGAACUAAUAAGUGAGGGGCAUGUUAAUGAUGACAUUGAUGGAGAUGAACUUAUGGCAGAAUAAGAGCAAUGAGUAUAUGUAGGUGAUGAACUAAUUGUCAUGGACAUCAAAUAUAACUCACAAGAAUAAGUAAUGCCAAAGCCAAGGAGAAUUACAAAUUUUCUUAAAUUAGCUAAUCAAGCAUCCUCACAACCUUCACAACAAAGUGUUGAAAGUUCUCAUCUUAGAGCUAAUGUAUCAUCUCAAUUACCUAACCAAACAUCCUCACAACCUUCACAACAAAGUGAUAAAAGUUCCCAUCUUAGAUAUAAUGUAUCAUCUCAAUUCCCUAACCAAACAUCCUCACAACCUUCAGAAGAAAGUCCUGAAAGUUCUCAUCUUAGAGAUAAUGUAUCAUCUAAAUUACCUAACCAAACAUCCUCACAACCUUCACAAGAAAGUGCUGAAAGUUCUCAUCUUAGAGAUAAUGUAUCAUCUCAAUUACCUAACCAAACAUCCUCACAACCUUCACAACAAAGUUGUGAACAUUCUCAUCUUAGAGUUAUUGUAUCAUCUCAAUUACCUAACCAAAUAUCCUCACAACCUUCACAACAAAGAGCUAAAAGUUCUCAACAUAGAGGCGGUCGAGCAUCUACCCAUUAUUGGCUUGUAGAUGCAC